rnacentral:rRNA from 1 species
CGUGAGGGAAAGGUGAAAAGAACCCCGGGAGGGGAGUGAAAUAGAACCUGAAACCUUAUGCCUACAAGCAGAUAGAGUCUUAAGAGAGAUGAUAUCGUACUUUUUGUAGAACGGGCCAGCGAGUUAUGGUGUGCGGCAAGGUUAAGUAAUGAAGUUACGGAGCCGUAGGGAAACCGAGUCUGAAUAGGGCGAAAAGUCGUAUGCCAUAGACCCGAAACCAGGUGAUCUAUCCAUGAGCAGGUUGAAGUGAAAGUAAAAUUUCAUGGAGGACCGAACCGGGUAGCGUUUAAAAGCUAUCGGAUGACUUGUGGAUAGGGGUGAAAAGCCAAUCGAACUUGGAGAUAGCUGGUUCUCCUCGAAAUAGCUUUAGGGCUAGCCUCAAUUUAGUUUACAGGGGGUAGAGCACUGAAUACCGUAGGGGUGUUAGACAUUACCGAAAGUUAUCAAACUGCGAAUACCUGAUAAAUGAUGAUUGGGAGUCAGACUAUGUGGGAUAAGCUUCAUAGUCGAAAGGGAAAGAGCCCAGACCACCAGCUAAGGUCCCUAAAUAUAGAUUAAGUGGAAAAGGAUGUUUUACUACUCAGACAACCAGGAUGUUGGCUUAGAAGCAGCCAUACAUUUAAAGAGUGCGUAAUAGCUCACUGGUCAAGUGGUAGAGCGCCGAAAAUGAACGGGGCUAAAAUCUAAUACCGAAGCUGUGGACUAAUUAAAUUAGUGGUAGAGGAGCAUUGUGUAAGGGGUGAAGCUAAGUUGGAAGACGAAGUGGACUUUACAGAAGAGAGAAUGCUGGCAUGAGUAGCGAAAAGGAGGGUGAGAAUCCCUCCCGUCGAAAGCCUAAGGAUUCCUGAGGAAGGCUCGUCCUCUCAGGGUAAGUCGGGACCUAAGCCCAGGCUGAAAAGCGUAAGCGAUGGACAACAGGUUGAGAUUCCUGUACUAUCUUUGAAUGUUUAAGAGAUGUACUGACGCAGGAGGAUAUGUUGAGCGUGUGAAUGGUAGAGCACGUCUAAGCAAGUAGGUAGAGAAUAGAGGCAAAUCCCUAUUCUUAAUAUCGAGAUGUGAUGGGGAGCGAAAAACAAGUAGUGAAGCAACAAAUUCCAAACUGCCAAGAAAAGGUACUAUUGAGUGAGAAGAUACCCGUACCAAAACCGACACAGGUAGGCAAGGAGAGAAUCCUAAGACGCGCGGAAGAACCUUUGUUAAGGAACUCGGCAAAAUGACCCCGUAACUUCGGGAGAAGGGGUACCAUUAGAUGUGAUAUACAUACGUAUGGAGCAUAGAGUGGUCGCAGAGAAUAGGCCCAAGCAACUGUUUACCAAAAACACAAGUCUCUGCUAAAUCGAAAGAUGAAGUAUAGGGGCUGACACCUGCCCGGUGCUGGAAGGUUAAGGGGAAAUGUUAGAGCAAUCGAAGCAUAGAACUUAAGCCCCAGUAAACGGCGGCCGUAACUAUAACGGUCCUAAGGUAGCGAAAUUCCUUGUCGGGUAAGUUCCGACCCGCACGAAAGGUGUAAUGAUUUGGGCACUGUCUCAACAAAGGAUCCGGUGAAAUUGUAGUAGUCGUGAAGAUGCGACUUACCCACGAUAGGACGGAAAGACCCCGUGGAGCUUUACUGUAGGCUGGCAUUGGAAUUUGGUAUUAAAUGUACAGGAUAGGUGGGAGACUAAGAAGCGAGAGCGCCAGUUUUCGUGGAGUCAAUGUUGGGAUACCACUCUUUUGAUACUAAAUUUCUAACUUGAUACUCUGAAGCGAGUAUAAGGACACUGUCAGUUGGGCAGUUUGACUGGGGCGGUCGCCUCCUAAAGAGUAACGGAGGCGUUCAAAGGUUCCCUCAGAAUGGAUGGAAAUCAUUCUAAGAGUGCAAAGGCAAAAGGGAGCUUAACUGCGACACCAACAAGUGGAGCAGAUAGGAAACUAGGACUUAGUGAUCCGGUGGUACCGAGUGGAAGGGCCAUCGCUCAACGGAUAAAAGCUACCCCGGGGAUAACAGGCU